CAGUCGCCGCGGGAAUACAGAGGGUGCGAGCGUUAAUCGGAUUUACUGGGCGUAAAGCGUGCGUAGGCGGCUUUUUAAGUCGGAUGUGAAAUCCCUGAGCUUAACUUAGGAAUUGCAUUCGAUACUGGGAAGCUAGAGUAUGGGAGAGGAUGGUAGAAUUCCAGGUGUAGCGGUGAAAUGCGUAGAGAUCUGGAGGAAUACCGAUGGCGAAGGCAGCCAUCUGGCCUAAUACUGACGCUGAGGUACGAAAGCAUGGGGAGCAAACAGGAUUAGAUACCCCGGUAGUCCCUGUCUCUUUACA
rnacentral:rRNA from 1 species